rnacentral:rRNA from 1 species
UACAGAGGGUGCUAGCGUUGUUCGGAAUUAUUGGGCGUAAAGCGCACGUAGGCGGCUUUGCAAGUUAGAGGUGAAAGCCCGGGGCUCAACUCCGGAAUUGCCUUUAAAACUGCAUCGCUAGAAUUGUGGAGAGGUAAGUGGAAUUCCGAGUGUAGAGGUGAAAUUCGUAGAUAUUCGGAAGAACACCAGUGGCGAAGGCGACUUACUGGACACAUAUUGACGCUGAGGUGCGAAAGCGUGGGGAGCAAACAGG